GAUCAUGGCUCAGAAUGAACGCUAGCCACAGGCUUAACACAUGCAAGUCGAGGGGCAGCAUGGUCUUAGCUUGCUAAGGCUGAUGGCGACCGGCGCACGGGUGAGUAACACGUAUCCAACCUGCCGUCUACUCUUGGCCAGCCUUCUGAAAGGAAGAUUAAUUCAGGAUGGGAUCAUGAGUUCACAUGUCCGCAUGAUUAAAGGUAUUUUCCGGUAGACGAUGGGG
rnacentral:rRNA from 1 species